rnacentral:lncRNA from 1 species
UAUGCUGUUUAUUCAUACGAAGGGAUACCCACUUUUUUUUACUUAGGAACAACAUAGCUUUAUUUAAAAUAAAUACACCCAAUAUGACACUAUGUGUGUAAAAAAAUAAGAUUGUUAGGUAUGACCAAGACAGUGUGUCUACAGGACUUGCUGAAAAUUAUAACCUGGUGACUAAAGAAGUUCACCCAAAGAAUGCAGAGACACUUCAUAGGUCAGAAGAUUCACUGUUGUCUCUCAGCCUAUCUCUCUCCUUGGUGGAUAAGUGCGUUCCUCCCUUCAUGUGGAUCUCUGUUCUCUCCACGAUCUAUCCCACAAGGAUACUUUCUACAUUGUACCACUUCCUCCAUCUGCUUCAUCUGCUCUCAUUGCACGUCACAGCCUUUGAAGAAGUCUGAUGGCCUGGGAUACCACAGUGAUGGAUGAGCUCCAGAUUGGCUGAGUCCAUGGGAAAUGUUCCUGCCUGUGGAGGAACACACAGAGUGCAGCACAGCGAGUUCUCAUGCUGAGGUGGCCACACAAACACCCAGACACCCCUACUACAGAUGUCAGACACUGGCCAAUGGGUGACCAUCAGUUUCUUGCUAGAACAUCUGUCCUUAGCCCCAGCCCUAGAUGGCCUCUCUGCUUACAGAGAAGUAAAAAGAAGACAUAUGUCUGAAACCUGACCACAUCAGUUUCUCCUGCUGAAUUGGACACGCAAACUGUAUAUGCCCCAGUACAGGGGAACGCCAGGGCCA